rnacentral:misc_RNA from 1 species
GAUGAAGAACGUAGCGAAAUGCGAUAAGUAAUGUGAAUUGCAGAAUUCAGUGAAUCAUCGAAUCUUUGAACGCACAUUGCGCCCCCUGGUAUUCCGGGGGGCAUGCCUGUCCGAGCGUCAUUACAACCCUCAAGCUCAGCUUGGUAUUGGGCCCCGCCGCUCCGGCGGGCCCUAAAGUCAGUGGCGGUGCCGUCCGGCUCCGAGCGUAGUAAUUCUUCUCGCUCUGGAGGUCCGGUCGUGUGCUCGCCAGCAACCCCCAAUUUUUUUCAGGUUGACCUCGGAUCAGGUAGAGAUACCCGCUGAACUUAAGCAUAUCAAUAAGCGGAGGA